GUGGCUAGGUGGAGCAGAAAUCACGGUCCGGUUGGUCGCGGGCUCGGGCUCGAGGUGAGCUAGGGAGAGGAAGGACCACUGUACCUGUACGGCGGCGGACAUCGAAGGUACGGUCGGCUGGUGCUGGUCGAGGCAGUCCGGCCGGAGCGGGGUACGGAAUGGAGGAAGGAAAAGAAAGAGGGAGAGAGAAAAGAAUGGAGAGAGGAGCAGUACUGUCCUCGUCUGUACCGCGGGCUCGCGGAGCUCAAGCAGUCGGGCAGUCUACCUAAGUCGAGCGCGGGGAGAGAGAUCUGGACGACCUUUGUACCUCGGGUUUCGGUACCGGCGCGGAGGGCAAAAGGAGCUGGGGCCGCAACGGUUCAAGGAGCAGCAGCCUGCGGCUGCGGGGCGGAGUUCGGUGACGGCGACCAGUGACUCCGGUGGGACUGGAGCUGGACCUGGCGAGGUCGCUGGUGCGGGCAACUGCGACAGCGAGGCGCUCAGUGACCAGGAGCGGCCUAAAGCGACGGUCCAGGUACGGCGGGAACGGAGGUGAGGCAGUCGUGCGCGGUGGCCUCGGGACUAAACGAUGUCGGGGUUCGCGGAGUCGAGACGUGGGCGGGACUACCGGAGGAGAUAGGGCGAUAGAAGAGGGUACCUAGGGAGGAAGAGGAACGCAGCUCUUGGUCGCGAGGUCCCGGCCGGAAGACGACAAGCAGGAACAACCGAGAGCGUUGUGGCCGCGACGGCCGUCGGCGCGGCGAGCUAGGUGGAGUGGCUGCUGUCGUGAUCGUCCAGGGGCGGUACCUACGUCCUCGUGCUCGAGGUAGGAGGAGCAACGUGCGUAGCGGGCAGCCUCAGCGGGGUCAGCGGCGGAGCGGUUCGAGGCAGCGGCGGUCACUGGAAGCGCAGCUCCACGGCCUCAAGUGCGGGGGGACGUGGACGUAGCGCGGAGACGGCAGGAGACGUAGCUUCGUCAACAUCUCCUCCUCCUCACGGAGCUUGGGGGAACAUAGCGGGCGCAACUGGCGCGGUCGCGCACCCGGCGCGAUCCGGGUCGCGGGGAAGGCUGGACG
rnacentral:rRNA from 1 species